CAAUGCAAAGCACCUCAUGAAUGCUAAUCUAAAUAUUAAUGAGCCUUGCAUUCACUUGUGCGUUGUUACACUGCAUAAUGGCGACAGGUGAGAAAAGAGCAAAAAAAAACGUAAUUUCUCAGACACUGACAUACACAUACUUGUAGGGGAGGUGGAGGCCCGGAAAACAACAUUAUUUGGUGGCCACAGCAGUGGGAUCACUAAUAAAAAGAAGCAGUGCGAGUGGCAACGUGUUGCUGCUUCUGUCAACUGCAUCAGUGGGACAGAACAGACAGUUGCAGAACUAAAGGAAAAGUGGUCCGAUCUGAAGUUAUAUAAUGGUAGAGUACUUGAUGCUAUCCUGUACUCCAUCCUGCCCUGCCAUCUCCACCUGCACUCCCAAAUCCAGAACAGCAACCUCAAUCAGGGCUAAUCCACUCUGGGCAGCGGCAGGAGAUAUCACUGCCUGGGAAAGCUUGGGUAGGCAUUGAAUUUGGCAGUGCUCGCUCUCACCACUUGAUAUUCUCUGACUCUUAUGCAAGAUAUACCAGCUGUGGCCAGCGCAUGUUGGGAUUGGCUUUACAUAACAGUCAUUGGGUUGCUUUCCUUUCUCCUAAACACAGACCAUAGCACAAAGAAUAACAGGGGUAGUGAAAAAGACAACAAGUGGUUGCGAAUGGACAAAAGAAGUAUUGUUUCUCUACAAACAGGUCUUUGGUUAUUAUAUU
ensembl:lncRNA